ensembl:ncRNA F56A11.9 ncRNA
GUUAUACCUCAGCAGAUUAUUACAAGGAUAAGGGCGGGGGAGCGGCGCGACCGUAAAUCAUACGCCGCCUGGGCCCAGAAGACGACGAACGAUAAAUUCUGAAUCAGGAGGUCAGAUCGAAAACGGCGUACAGAAGAU